rnacentral:rRNA from 1 species
AUUGAACGCUGGCGGCAGGCCUAACACAUGCAAGUCGAACGAGUGGCGGACGGGUGAGUAAUGUCUGGGAAACUGCCUGAUGGAGGGGGAUAACUACUGGAAACGGUAGCUAAUACCGCAUACCAUCGGAUGUGCCCAGAUGGGAUUAGCUAGUAGGUGGGGUAAAGGCUCACCUAGGCGACGAUCCCUAGCUGGUCUGAGAGGGUGACCGGCAACACUGGAACUGGGACACGGUCCAGACUCCAACGGGGGGCAGAGGUGGGGAAUAUUGCACAGUGGGCGCAAGCCUGAUGCAGCCAUGCGGGGUGGAUGAAGAAGGCCUUCGGGUUGUAAAGUUCUUUCAGCGGGGAGGCGUUACCCGCAGAAGAAGCACCGGCUAACUCCGUGCCAGCAGCCGCGGUAUAC